GACAAAGUUUAAAUAUUUUUACACACCUUUUGAUAUUAUUAAAUAUUUCUUAAUAAAUAAAAAUUAUAUUUUAGUUAAAGCUUUUUAUAAAUAUUUUAAUUACUUUAUAACGAAAAAUUGGCAAGAUAUAUUUUCAUAUAUACCCUUGAACACACCUAUAGAAAAUUAUUUUUUUCUGUUACCUUGCAUAAAAAAUGGUGCUGAAAAAAAUGGUGCUGAAAAAAAUGGUGCUGAAAAAAAUGGUGCUGAAAAAAAUGGUGAUGAAAAAAAUGGUGAUGAAAAAUGUACUGACGAUAUGGAUGUAGACGAUAUAAAUAAGUCUAACAUAACAAGACUAGGUCUAUAUGAUGUAAAUUCAAGGUUCUUUAUGGGAAACCAUAAUGAAGAUAUGUACACUAUUUACUCUGAUGAAAACACCUUUUUCGACUUUUUUAUUAAUCGAUGUAUCCAAAUCAUACAAAAAACAAACUUAGUUAGAAGUCGUUUGUUAACUUUUGUAUACGUGUGUUUAAAAUUGAUAAAUGGUGAAAAUAUUUACAAAUUGUUCAGGUAUGACAAAAAAAAAAAGGCUUACAUUUUUAAUAAUCACUAUUUUUUUAAACUUAAACAUGCUCAAUCGGAGGUACAUACUAAUGGAAAGACACAUGGAAAGACACAUGAAAAGGCGUACGAAACAGUAGAAAACGGUACAGUAAUUGGAGCUAGCAAUCGUAGUGGCCUUAGUAGUAGUUAUAGUAGUCACUUUAGUAGUAACCGUAGCAAUACCAACAUGAACAUACAAUUUUCUGAACCUAAUAAAGGAGAAAAAACUAAGAAAGACAUAAAAAAACAAACAAUGCAACCACAUAUAGUAAACUUUAACGACCUAAACUUUAUAAAAAAUAAACUAUAUAUAAAAUUAAAAAAAAAUAAACUAUUAAAAAAAAAUGUGUUAUUAAUAUAUAGUUUAUUUGUUUUAAUAAAAUUAUAUAGCAUAUGCAAAGAUAAUAGUCCUAAUAUUAAAUUUGAACAGUUUUUGUUUAUGGAUAUAUACGAACGUCUGUGCUUAAUAACUGAUUUCGAUAUUACUUGCAUUUCUUACGAAUGUAACAAAAAAAUGCAUAUAAAUUUAUUUUUUAGCAAACUGCAAG
rnacentral:lncRNA from 1 species